GGUUAUACCGUGCUGAAUAUACCGGUUCUCUUUUGAUCAGCGCAGUUAAGCAUUAUGGGAUGCAGUCAGUACUUGUUAGGGUGACCACCUGGGAACACCGUGUGUC